rnacentral:piRNA from 1 species
UGCAGGCACAAGUGCGCAUUGGUGGGA